AGCUGUACAAGCAACAUCAAAAUCACGCAGUCUAGUGGACAGACGGGAUUUCAGGAAAAACACUCUUCAGAGGCU
ensembl:snoRNA Gm24051 predicted gene, 24051